rnacentral:rRNA from 1 species
UACAGAGGUCUCAAGCGUUGUUCGGAUUCAUUGGGCGUAAAGGGUGUGUAGGUGGCGCCGUAAGUCGGGUGUGAAAUUUCGGAGCUUAACUCCGAAGCUGCAUUCGAUACUGCGGUGCUUGAGGACUGGAGAGGAGACUGGAAUUCAUGGUGUAGCAGUGAAAUGCGUAGAGAUCAUGAGGAAGACCAGUGGCGAAGGCGGGUCUCUGGACAGUUCCUGACAGCUGAGACACGAAGGCCAGGGGAGCAAACGGG